AGUGAACGCUGGCGGUAGGCCUAACACAUGCAAGUCGAACGGCAGCACAGUAAGAGCUUGCUCUUACGGGUGGCGAGUGGCGGACGGGUGAGGAAUACAUCGGAAUCUACUUUUUCGUGGGGGAUAACGUAGGGAAACUUACGCUAAUACCGCAUACGACCUACGGGUGAAAGCAGGGGAUCUUCGGACCUUGCGUGAUUGAAUGAGCCGAUGUCGGAUUAGCUAGUUGGCGGGGUAAAGGCCCACCAAGGCGACGAUCCGUAGCUGGUCUAAGAGGAUGAUCAGCCACACUGGAACUGAGACACGGUCCAGACUCCUACGGGAGGCAGCAGUGGGGAAUAUUGGACAAUGGGCGCAAGCCUGAUCCAGCCAUACCGCGUGGGUGAAGAAGGCCUUCGGGUUGUAAAGCCCUUUUGUUGGGAAAGAAAAGCAGCAGGUUAAUACCCCGCUGUUCUGACGGUACCCAAAGAAUAAGCACCGGCUAACUUCGUG
rnacentral:rRNA from 1 species